rnacentral:rRNA from 1 species
ACAAGGUUGAGCUGUGACGUGGAGCCCGUAGGGCGAAGCACCGGAUUUCACGCUGCCAAGAAAAGCCUCUAGUGAGGAGGUCGGCGCCAGUACCGCAAACCGACACAGGUAGGCGAGAUGAGAAUUCUAAGACGCGCGGGAUAACUCUCGUUAAGGAACUCGGCAAAAUGGUCCCGUAACUUCGGGAGAAGGGACGCUUAUGGCAACAUAAGCCGCAGUGAAUAGGCCCAAACGACUGUUUAGCAAAAACACAGGUCUCUGCUAAAUCGCAAGAUGAAGUAUAGGGGCUGACGCCUGCCCGGUGCUGGAAGGUUAAGGGGAUGUGUCAUCGCAAGAGAAGCACUGAACCGAAGCCCCAGUAAACGGCGGCCGUAACUAUAACGGUCCUAAGGUAGCGAAAUUCCUUGUCGGGUAAGUUCCGACCCGCACGAAAGGCGUAACGAUUUGGGCACUGUCUCAACGAGAGACCCGGUGAAAUCAUAGUACCUGUGAAGAUGCAGGUUACCCGCGACAGGACGGAAAGACCCCAUGGAGCUUUACUACAGCCUGAUAUUGAGGCUUUGUACGCGAUGUACAGGAUAGGUGGGAGUUUGUGAAGCCGGAGCGCCAGCUUCGGUGGAGACACCCUUGGGAUACCACCCUUUGCGUAUAGAGUCUCUAACUCGCAGCCGUGAUCCGGCUGGAGGACCGUGUCAGGCGGGUAGUUUGACUGGGGCGGUCGCCUCCUAAACAGUAACGGAGGCGCCCAAAGGUUCCCUCAGAAUGGUUGGAAAUCAUUCGAAGAGUGCAAAGGCAGAAGGGAGCUUGACUGCGAGACCUACAAGUCGAGCAGGGACGAAAGUCGGGCUUAGUGAUCCGGUGGUUCCGCAUGGAAGGGCCAUCGCUCAACGGAUAAAAGCUACCCUGGGGAUAACAGGCUGAUCUCCCCCAAGAGUCCACAUCGACGGGGAGGUUUGGCACCUCGAUGUCGGCUCAUCGCAUCCUGGGGCUGGAGUAGGUCCCAAGGGUUGGGCUGUUCGCCCAUUAAAGCGGUACGCGAGCUGGGUUCAGAACGUCGUGAGACAGUUCGGUCCCUAUCCGUCGUGGGCGCAGGAAAUUUGAGGAGAGCUGUCCUUAGUACGAGAGGACCGGGAUGGACGCACCGCUGGUGUACCAGUUGUUCCGCCAGGAGCACCGCUGGGUAGCUACGUGCGGACGGGAUAAGUGCUGAAAGCAUCUAAGCAUGAAGCCCCCUCCGAGAUGAGAUUUCCCUUUGAGCAAUCAAGAAAGACCCCUCAGAGACGAUGAGGUAGAUAGGUCAUGGGUGGAAGCGUGGCGACACGUGGAGCUGAAUGAUACUAAUCGGUCGAGGCUUUGAUCU